rnacentral:rRNA from 1 species
UACGAAGGGGGCUAGCGUUGCUCGGAAUUACUGGGCGUAAAGCGCACGUAGGCGGCUCGUUAAGUCGGUGGUGAAAUCCUGGAGCUCAACUCCAGAACUGCCUUCGAUACUGGCGAGCUUGAGUUCGGGAGAGGUGAGUGGAACUGCGAGUGUAGAGGUGAAAUUCGUAGAUAUUCGCAAGAACACCAGUGGCGAAGGCGGCUCACUGGCCCGAUACUGACGCUGAGGUGCGAAAGCGUGGGGAGCAAACAGG